rnacentral:tRNA from 1 species
CAGAUUUUAGCUUACAUAAAGCUUUUUAUUUACAUUAAAACGAAGAUAUAUUAUUGAAUCUGA